AUAAAAAGUAGUAAAAUUCUUUAAUAUGCUUUAAUAUGCAUAUUUAAUAUGCUGGUAUAGAUGCAUCUGGUUUGCGAUACUGAGAACUAAGCCAACAUGUGGGAGCAGGGGGCGGAGAGUCAUUCUUGAAAAGUAAAUUUCAAGACAAUACAACUUUGUACAUAUUUUUUUUUCCUUCGGUGAACAAACUAUAAUUGUAUAUUACAUUGCUUUCUUCUUUCUUAUAUAGUAAAAGAAGAAGAAACAGGACGUGAGAAGUGAGUGAGAAGUUGGUAACUUCUGCAUUGACAGGUUCCUUUUCCUGAGCCAGGACUGCGAGGUUUAAAAGGUUUCCCCUGCCCCCCCACUCGUCUGCAGCUGCAGCAACCCUGCCGCGUCUUCUGGCUCCGAGAGCUUUGAAUUAAUCUGCCAGGACUGGGCAAUCAGACCUCUAAUGCGAAGGACUGUCAGAAAGGAGGGUCCUCUAUGUGAAGACAACACUAUCUGAGGGCUGUUCAGUCCAAGUUUGGUUAAAACAACAAAGAACCAUAAAAACAGAGAGCAAGAGAUUUGAAGUUGACCCUCAGCAGUAACGUCACCAUUGUGAGCCAGAACUUGCCGGAACUCAGGUGGACGCCAUUGCCAUGAUAAAAGAACGAGGGAGGUGUUCACAGUGAGUUUCAGCACUUCUUUUUAGCUAGAAAAACAGCGCUGUCUAAACUUAAUAUUUAAAAAUCUCUAAGUGGCAUAUGUGUGUGUCUGUUGCAGAGCUGGCAUUAAUAUCAAGUGACAUGAAGCAGUUGCUUCAAACUGUUGCUUCCGGCCUCCAUUUUAUUACAUUUGCUGUGUUUAAAAUGUGUUGGGACUGAUGUCACUCUGCCUUCUUGCGUUGGGUGUGAAAACGCCUGACAAAUGCUUUACAUGUUACAGAAAAGACAGAUCCCUGCCUCUGCACUGUGGGUCAAUCAUACUAUUUGCACUCAAUAAAAACAAUGCCCAGAAGCUUCAGCUGGUCACAGAUCCCAAAUAAAUAUUUAGAGUGUGUUAAGAGUCAUGUUUAACCCAUUGCAGAAAUGCAUGUUUCUUCCACUCCUUUCCUCCUCUGUAUUAUA